UACGUAGGGGGCAAGCGUUGUCCGGAAUCAUUGGGCGUAAAGAGCGUGUAGGCGGCUCGGUAAGUCCGCUGUGAAAGUCCAGGGCUCAACCCUGGACUUGCAGUGGGUACGGGCAGACUAGAGUGUGGUAGGGGAGACUGGAAUUCCUGGUGUAGCGGUGAAAUGCGCAGAUAUCAGGAGGAACACCGAUGGCGAAGGCAGGUCUCUGGGCCACUACUGACGCUGAGAAGCGAAAGCAUGGGGAGCGAACAGG
rnacentral:rRNA from 1 species